CGCCCUUCGCCGCUGGAGCCGCCGCCCGCGGAAGCCUCCGCGGGAGCAGCUGCGGGAGCCGCUCGCCGCUGCAGCCGCCACGGGAGAAGCAGCGGGAGCCGCCGCGUGUCGCCCUUCGCCGCGGGUCGCCGCCGGAGCCGCCCCUCCCCUGGAUCCGCUCGCCGUUGGUCGCCGCCGGAGCCGCCCCGCCCCUGGAUGCGCUCGCCGCUGGUCGCCGCCGGAGCUGCCCGUCGCGCCCCCACUCAGCUUGGCCUCCGCCCCGCCGUCCCCGGUCCUCAAGCAAGCUACUUCAAUUUUAGGUGAGCUGGCAGGGAUCACAAGCAUCGGUGUUGCAUUCUUGAAUCUCACAUACACAGUUAAGCAAUGUUCUCCCUCACAUAAAGUCCUUUUAGUGCAUGUAGAGUUUUGCUCACUUUCUUUCUAGCUAGCUGCCGCAUUCAUUUCUUUCCGUGGCACCGUAUAGUUUAUACCUCAGAGAGGUCAUUUUAGUGCAUGAUGUUCUGGUGUAGCUACCAUUAGCUUUACUGGAGCAGAGCAACAUUUAAUAGGAAUUCCACCAUAAAUAUUUACCCAGAUACAACAUUCUUCUCUGGAAUUUGAGUUUUUUUCGAGAAGGUUUUGGAUCUAAGGAUGAGCUAUCAGUGGUACUGAUUAUACAACGAGUUUGUACAAAAUGUUCGCUGGUGUUGGGUGUUUACCUUUUAUCACUUCUAUAUCCCCUUAUUGUGUUUCUCUGUUUCUAGAAAGUAGGCCAUUCGUUCCAGGCUUUCAAGUUUGUGCUAUAACCUAAAGGAGAAAGAGUUCAUUAUUGACCAGCAGUUAAAAGCAGGUUCAGUUUUUUACCUCAUUUUCCAUCCCCACAGUAGCACUUUCUGUUAGUUCGAACAAUAUCUCAAUGCAUUAUUUACACACCUAGCUUGUGCUCUGUGCCCAGAAUUGGUAAACUGUAGCCGUGAUAAUACUACACUGUAUUCAGAAAUAGCAGGAGAUAAAGCUAGGUGUUGCAUAUAGGCCGGUGGUGAACCCUUUUAGAGCUGACCUUCCUUCAGAGUUGGAUAUCAUCUACAGUAACCUCACUGCAUCCAUAGAUCAACUGAAUAAACAAAAGGCACUUAAGAUCUUUAUUGGUAUCCAGGAUGUGUUGUCUGACCAUCUAAGCAAACUGGCCCACUAUGCUAAGGAAUUAGGACAAUUCAGUUACUUGACCGGACUGUUUAGCAUGCAGAAAUUGGAAGCAGGCUUAGAAAAACACCACCAAGCUUGAAAGCAGAAAAAGAUGCACACACUCACCAUUAUUAUCUUCCUGUGAUAAUUUUAGGCUUGUAACAGGAAACUUGAAGAGGCAAUUUUAGUUGGUGGUGUGCUUUACAAUUUCAUAUUGUUGUUCGGUGUUUCUCCAUAAUCAUGUCUUCUAUUUUUUAGAAUUUUCUAGCAUAUGAACUAUCACAUGAAUUUUCCUAGCUCCAAUGGUCGCGCCGCCCAGGACGUCGGCGGCGGAGACGAAGGCAAUUUGUACUGAGACGUCGUGGCCGAGCCGCAGGACCUCCGCCUUGACGAGCUGCUGGACCUAGGCCUCGACGAGACGCCGGACCUCGGCCUCCCUCUGGUUUUCAUGGUACGGUCCCUUCCCCUCUCCACCAAAUCUUGACUUGUGUGUUGUUCUGCUCUGCACUGAUUGUAUUGCCAUUGUUAUAACUCUUCUAAAUCCAUUUUUGAUAUGGUGGCCCGCUCCAGCUGGAACAGUUUUGUAGAGACAAAUUGGAAGAGUGCAGCUGCCCUGGCUCAUGGAAUUGGAAGAAUUUAUGCUUUUUUCUACUCAAAAAGGAAGCUAUUUUUUCUGAAUCAUAGAAAGGAUGCAACUUUGUCAGGGGUAGUAGAUACAAAGUUCAGUGUCUACAGCAUAUAAACCGGAAGCCGUGCUUCCGGUUUCAGCAUAUAAACUUUUUUGGUCAUAUAAUCUGAAUUUUUACCAUUUCACAUAGACAACCUAUCAUUUGUGGUUCACCACAUUUACAUGCUCUGAUUCCCACGCUCAUGCGAACAAGUAUAUGCUAGAAAUUUCAAAGUAUCGUGUCAGUUAGAAUUAUCACAUGGGUAGCCAUUUUCUCCAUGAAAAUACCUCAUGUAAUGCUAUGUUCCAUAUUUUCUACAUUAUGAUAAGUUCAUAGUUUAUAUAUUGUUUCAACAUUAUAUUUUGUACUGAGACAUGCAGCCAUAUAUUCUAUUUCUACUUCAAUAUAUUCUCCCAUGUGCAUUCUAAUAGACAAUUGGCCCUCUUCUUUUUUUGUGAUAAUGAUAGUCCUUGAUGAAAUGCCACCAAGUUAGUCUACUAUCUCAAGUCAGAUUCGAUAAUAAUUUAUUUUACAUUGCCAUCUUUCUUGAUUACGUACCGUGUCGUUGCAGAUGAUCUCAGGUAAUCAGAUCCAACACCCAAAUUCAAUUUGAGUUGCUUUUAAAUGCUUCUGGGAGGCAUAUGAUGUUGAUAUGCUACAUUGUAGUUUAUGUUUGGUAGGCUAUGAUAUUUUUGCCCUAAACUGUCACAUUUCUUAAUUCCAAAAUUUAAUUGUUGUAGGCUGAACAUGAGCAUGUCUGUUUGUGGUGUUGAGGUAAAGCUCAGUUUGUUACACAGCAGAGCCAAGGGCAUGUCAUGGACCAAGUAUAUCAAGUUGGGCAGCGUGUGCAGGUCGACAUGCUAUAGUAAUAUGCUUUUUAAACUGCUACAACGCAUGGCCAUUCGGCUAUUAUCUAAAUUAAUGCUUAUAUUGUUAGCAUAGACCUUUCAGCUAAAUUUGCAGCCAUGAUGUUACAUUGCCAAUAUUUUAGAAAACUGUAAUUUGCUGCCAUGAUGUUACACACGUGCAGGUCUAUGGUGGUGUCAUGAAUUUAGGGGUACAUCUCCUUGCACUCAGGUGGAAGAAAUUCCUCGCCCUCAAGUCCAACUAAUUCAGGACCUGCAUCUCUGAUAUACCGUGGUGAUUCAAGCUUACUCUUGAUCUGCCCACUACUUUCCAUUCCAUUUCUUGGAUGAAAGGAAUGUUGGUUUAAUUUAACAUGCUGUUCAAUCUCAGAAGCACUUGAUGUGCUCAACUGCUGAUAUAUACAAGAAAUACCGGAUCUUGAUGAAGAUGGUAGUACACUUCAUUCACAAUUUAAAUUCUUAGUGUAUCUAUCAUCAUGUCCAGGUUGGUUCCUUUGUAAACACAUUUUAGUAUCAUUAUCCAUUCAGUGUUCUGUUUACAGUGUACUAUUAAAUGCCAUUUUCCAUGUAUAUUUUUGUUGAUUGUUGUUGGAUUUGGAGGCAAACUAAUUUCCUCAAGUAUGAAUUAUCUGCCA